UUUAAUUUUAACUAGAAACAAAGUCAUGGUAUUUUUUGGUAGCCGAGACUAGGAUUCGGCCCAAUAUCAACUUGAUGGAUUGCUUUUUCAACGAGUCAGUUCAAGAUAGGAUUAGUCAGACUUGUAUGUGAUGUCGGAUGGUUGUGUUGGUAUGGCCCUUGCAAAGCAAUUUGAAGAUUGUUCUCUCCAAUCCGAUGUCGACUUAGAUGUACUUAGUAAAAAAAGAAAAAGUAAGGAAUACAUACAGCCAGAAACUAAGAACUUGUGGGUAAUGGUAGUGAAAGGAUUAACAAUUGUGUAGCCAUUAACUAAUUCAGAGAGAAAGAGUUUCUAAACUAAUGUUGCAGCAUGUCGCUCAAGACUAAAGGCUUAUCUUGCGGAAGGAAGAUGCUUUGUUUAGGUAGAUGCGGUUACUAAGAAAAACAUGUAACUUAGUUAAGCUAGAUUAAGGGUUUGAGGUAUAUUAUUUUUCACCUUAAUUCAAAGAUUGUGAUGUGUCAAGUCAUGAAUGUGGGAACAUGCCGUUCUUUUCUUAUAGGUACAGUUGGCAACAAGUCCAUUGCUUUUUUUUUUUUUUUUUUUUAUUGCUCUUAUUAAAUCGUGUUAUAUGAAUUGUUAAAAUCUCGUAUAUGUUCGAAUUUGUUACCGACAAGAAGUAUGCAAUAGAAUUCGACUUUGGCUUUUGUAUUAAGGAUCAUCACACACAGAUUUUUUGAUGUCUUUAUGAUUAGAUCAAACAGCGUGCGAAAGAGGAGGAACUAAGCACCGACUCCGAUGAUAAAAAGAGCACCGGAUCUGAGACGAUGGCAAACAAAUCUCCGAUAUCCAGUCUAAAAAUAAAGCGUGCGAAGGAGGAGGAACUGAGCACCGACUCCGGAUCUGAGAUUCUCACCAUAGAGUAUGAGAAACUGAGCCUAACCAGCUCAAUCAAGAGUGAAUCUGACAAGGUAGGUGGUACGUCUGCGACUAUUAGUAAGUCUGCGACUUUGAAUGAAAUUAUUCGGUUUUUUAUGUUUUUUAUUUUGGGAAUAAGACUAUAAUUUAACCAAAUAAAAAUUCUUUGGUUAUUUUGGCUAUGGAGACCAAAGGUAUGCGCUCUUUUAGCCUCA